AUAGUAAUUAAUCUAACGGUUGGUCAUAUUACGAUGCUCAGUAAGGUUAAAUAAGUUAUACUGUAAAAUUUUAUGCCUUUGUCGUGCUUGUCAGAAAAGAUGAUAGUAAUAGCAAUAAUAUGCAACUAUUUAUUAGGAAAAACAUCUGUGUGCACUAUAUUUGCAGCACUCAAUUGCAUUGUUGCUUUAAAAAAAUAUGUUAACUUGAGCUAAUUAAUUAGAUAGUAAUUAAUCUAACGGUUGGUCAUAUUACGGAAAAACAUCUGUGUGCACUAUAUUUGCAGCACUCAAUUGCAUUGUUGCUUUAAAAAAAUAUGUUAACUUGAGCUAAUUAAUUAGAUAGUAAUUAAUCUAACGGUUGGUCAUAUUACGAUGCUUAGUAAGGUUAAAUAAGUUAUACUGUAAAAUUUUAUGCCUUUGUCGUGCUUGUCAGAAAAGAUGAUAGUAAUAGCAAUAAUAUGCAACUAUUUAUUAGGAAAAACAUCUGUGUGCACUAUAUUUGCAGCACUCAAUUGCAUUGUUGCUUUAAAAAAAUAUGUUAACUUGAGCUAAUUAAUUAGCACGUGUGUCAGUGCAGUCGCGAGGCAUCCAAAGCACGGAGAGGAUGGGAUGAACUCAACAAUUUCCAAAUUCGACCCUUAUUUGGUCAGGCAAGAUACCUCCAUGAUGAGUAUAUGUGUGCCAAUGAGCAGCUGGUGCAGAUGGUUCUAGCUUAACUCAUGAAUAUGGGAGCAAUAUAUUGAGGCUGCGAAGAAGGUUGUCAUCGAGACAAAGGGCAAGCACGACAAGGAUUAAUGCUUGGCGUAGAGGAAAGGCCUAAGAGAGUUAUCCCCCAUGGGAACAGAGACCGGGAUACAUUGUCUCUCAGGAUAUAUGCAGGAUAUAUGCAGCAGAGAAAGUUUUUUAGAAAAACAAAAAAAGGGGAUUCUCUUCAAUUGGUUUGAUGUUCAAGCUGGAGGAUGAAGAUUGACGGCUUUGAUGUACUGUACGAGAACGAAACAAGCAUCUUGGUGGAAGGCUGUGAGGAUGGAUAUCUUGUGAGGAUAGAUAUGUAGUUGCCUACUACAAGGAGCCAAGGCAGAUGAUGUGCCUCUGAGAUAUAUUCCAGAAAAUAGAGGGAGAAUUUUUUGCUCUCAUAUAGUGAACCAUAGUGUUUCCUCUAUUUAGUUAGUUACAUUAGCUUAUAGGAAACUUGAGUGGUCAUUAGUUUAUAACAGAUGAACUAUUUAUAUGUGAAAAUUAAUGAAUGUGUGUUGGUAUUA